UAGAGGCUUGAAUCAACCCAGUGAGAUGCAGGGUGGGAUUGUGCUAAAAUAUUUUUUUUUAGAUAACGAUUCUGAGGUUCAGACAAACUUUCCCAAAGUCACCCAGCCAGUGAGUGACAGAGGGUACUUCUGAAUGCACUCUGGUUGUCCUUCCUUCCAUGGCCCUCUGUGUUUCCAGGCCGCAUGGAGCUUUCAAGAGGUUCAGCAUGAGUAGCAAUGUCUGUGCGGUGUUUCCAUGUUCAUAAGGCAAGGGCACUGAUGGUGAGAUCUGAGCAGCAUCUAACCGGUUAAGGAGGUGUCCCUUCAAUGGCCACCUAUCAUCGCUCUCCAAGGAAACUGGAGAUGUCCAACCCAUUUGGAGGGAAGCCUGGAGCCUGUGGGAAGAGUUUGGGCUGGCGCCUGGGUGGCAGCUAACAUGAUACAUCUCCAGGGAAUUUUGUGAUCGGUGCAUGAAGAUUUGCAGAGAGAUGAGGGACCACACCCAGGUUGCCACCUUGACCCUCGUCUGCAGCGGUGGCCUGCUCGCAGGGGCUCGGCCCGAGGAGUGGCUUUGAGAGCAGUCUUUGUGGGCAUCCUGGUGUCAACAGUGACAAGGAAUUGAAAUGAAAAAUGGUCUGACCCAUGGCAAAAAGGCAACAGCAUCAGCAAUAUACCUGGAGAUGUUAUGGAUCUGAAAUGAGGGGCUUCCACGCUAUCUUUGAUGAUGUUUAAACAUCGUGUUUACUGGACCCACACAGAGGCUGUAAUGGGCUGAACGUCUCGGUCCCCUCAAAGUUCACCUAUGUUCAAAGCCGAAUCCCAAGAGGAUGUUACUUGGAGGUGGGGCCUUCUGAGAGGUCAUUAUGUCGCGAGGAU